CAGUGUGGGCAACCGUCUAUUUCGGCUAAUAUCGAUCAAUGCAAUGUUAAUCGACCAAUCGAGUUGGAUGGAAUUAAUUGAAGAUAUCUGGUGUCUUUCGAACUUCUGUACUGUCUGGGUUGACUGUUGAUGAUAAAUCGAAGAAGUUUGAUUACCUCUUCGCCGUAAAAAUGACCUUAAAAAUGACCUACAAAAACGCUGAUACGCAAGUUUUGAGUCGUCUGGAAGACCUAUGUCUCCCAGAUGCAGGCGAAGAGUUAAUAGAGAAAAACAAAAAUAAUAAGUAACAGAGAAAGCAUCAAAUAAUGUGAACAGAAAUAUUACUUACGACUACAAUAUAAUCGAUUGUGAUAAAUAACUACAGAAUAAAAUUAAUCGUAGUUAUUAUGAUUUUGUGUUUGAGUUACAAUCUGUCGAGUAUUAUUA